rnacentral:lncRNA from 1 species
ACAAAACACACAAAAAUAACAAUAAAAUAAAAAUAAAAUGAUCAUUUUCUAAUGCAAAUUAAUUCCCACAAUUAAUCCUUCCAAAUCAAAUGAAUGGCUAUCUUAUUUUCAUAAACUACAAGACACUAAAUCUAAAAGGACCAACAAAACUCAAGCUACACCAUUCAACCUUAACAAGAAUUAACCCUAAUUAAUUUUUCCCUUAAUAAAUUAAAUUAAACACAUGAUCUUUUAAUUCAUUCAAAAC